UUCGGAACCUUGCCUGAGCGAUUAUUUUGCUGAUGCAUCCAGCACUUUCCUCCUCUCACUUCCACUAUUAGUGAUGAAAACCAAAAGGCUCUGGAGACGAUAUUCUCAUCGAACAUUACUGUAGAGUGCAACUCAAAAGCAAGGACCGUGUCUGCCUCGUGUUCUAAAAAAUGCCCUCCAAGGAAGGAGAAGUGCUUGAGGGAGCUCCAAAGACAGGAUUCAACAAAGGUGCACAGAGAAGAUUCACCGGGGAGAGUUUGUAAAACUUGGAAGGGCAGCUGAGCAGUGAAUGGACCGAAUAGAUUUAUCCAUCUGCCAGGAGAGUGAAAUAAAUCUGUAGCCAGUAUAGGGAAAGGACUUAAAGGGAA